rnacentral:rRNA from 1 species
UGUAUUUAUUAGAUUAAAAACCAAUGCCCUUCGGGGCUCACUGGUGAUUCAUGAUAACUCCUCGAAUCGCAUGGCCUUGCGCCGGCGAUGGUUCAUUCAAAUUUCUUCCCUAUCAACUUUCGAUGUUUGGGUAUUGGCCAAACAUGGUUGCAACGGGUAACGGAGGGUUAGGGCUCGACCCCGGAGAAGGAGCCUGAGAAACGGCUACUACAUCCAAGGAAGGCAGCAGGCGCGCAAAUUACCCAAUCCCGACACGGGGAGGUAGUGACAAUAAAUACUGAUACAGGGCUCUUUUGGGUCUUGUAAUUGGAAUGAGUACAAUUUAAAUCCCUUAACGAGGAACAAUUGGAGGGCAAGUCUGGUGCCAGCAGCCGCGGUAAUUCCAGCUCCAAUAGCGUAUAUUAAAGUUGUUGCAGUUAAAAAGCUCGUAGUUGAAACUUGGGCCUGGCUGGCGGGUCCGCCUCACCGCGUGCACUCGUCCGGCCGGGCCUUCCUUCUGAAGAACCUCAUGCCCUUCACUGGGCGUGCUGGGGAACCAGG